UUUGAAUAGGGUUCGAAACUUUGGUGGGAGAGAGUGCCACAAACGAUCGUCAUAAUUGUGCUGUUGCUCCGAUGCUUACUGUUUGGCGGACGCGUGGCAAUAACACCUAAGGAUUAUGUGGCGUUUAGAGCGCUUAUGUGUGCCAUAUGAUUCAAUUGUUCAGUAUUUUCUACGUAAACGCAGUUGAUGAGCUUUCGUUUUCUCGUAUCAUGACACUCGCUAUGUGAUGUCACUUCUAAAAGUGAGAAAAACAAAAGCAAUGAAAAAACUGACCCAUGACAUAUCUGUUUCGCUCGGUUAAUUCUGUUGCAUCAUGAAUACUUGGAAAGUUUGAACUUCGCAGCGUGUUUAUUCUACCUCGCCAACUCUUUAGUCAAAAAAUAGCCCGUCGUUGUAAUUGUGUUGGUCUCGAAACAUGGUUAAUCUAAACUUGAAGCCGAUGUCAAAUGCAUCAUGCGAUGUUUAAAUGCGACAUCCUCUUGGUUACGAUAGACGCACUCGUAGCGUAGUCAAUUCCAGAGUUUCAAGCCAUCAGUGAAAUCAAACUUUAUGUUUAGAAAGUUUAUAUCGCAGAAAAGGUUAGGUUUCGAACCGGGUUACCUAGGAAUGGAUGUAUACGCAAGGAGAAAAUGACAACGGAUGCAUUUAACCAGAAAGAAAAUAGUGGAGGAAACGGGACAGAAGAACAAGAAUGAGCUUCGUUUUUGAGCAACAAGUUUCGCUUUUGAAAAAGCCAUCUGUACACAAGUAAGAAAAGGCCAAGGAUGGGAGACAUUUGAAAGAUUAAAUCUAUUUAUCUAUCAUCUAACACAACUUUUGAAUCUGUUAGAGAAGAAGGGAUCUUAUAACACGGCCAAGAGGCGUUUAUCUGAAACAAAGCAGCAUUUUGAAAGUUCGCAAGACAUGGGAAAGAACUGUGUGAGUGCCUCAGUCGCGCCAACUCACGCGAAACCUAAAAUAAUCGGAAAAGGAAAUGAGAUCGUUUCAGUUUCAAGGAAUAUUUCAUGUCAGCUCUUCAAAUAUAAUAUAGAGUAAGCGUUUGUUUAGAUUUUGACUGUUUGAUGAUUGGUUAUCUUGUAAAUAAAGACGUUCUACGUAA